rnacentral:rRNA from 1 species
UACGAAGGGGCUAGCGUUGCUCGGAAUUACUGGGCGUAAAGCGCACGUAGGCGGCUUUCUAAGUCGGGGGUGAAAUCCUGGAGCUCAACUCCAGAACUGCCUUCGAUACUGGAGAGCUUGAGUCCGGGAGAGGUGAGUGGAACUGCGAGUGUAGAGGUGAAAUUCGUAGAUAUUCGCAAGAACACCAGUGGCGAAGGCGGCUCACUGGCCCGGUACUGACGCUGAGGUGCGAAAGCGUGGGGAGCAAACAGGAUUAGAUACC